AGUGAACGCUGGCGGCAGGCCUAACACAUGCAAGUCGAACGGCAGCACAGGGGAGCUUGCUCCCUGGGUGGCGAGUGGCGGACGGGUGAGGAAUGCAUCGGAAUCUGCCCAGUCGUGGGGGAUAACGUAGGGAAACUUACGCUAAUACCGCAUACGACCUGAGGGUGAAAGUGGGGGCUCGCAAGACCUCACGCGAUUGGAUGAGCCGAUGCCGGAUUAGCUAGUUGGUGGGGUAAAGCCCACCAAGGCGACGAUCCGUAGCUGGUCUGAGAGGAUGAUCCGCCACACUGGGACUGAGACACGGCCCAG
rnacentral:rRNA from 1 species